rnacentral:tRNA from 1 species
GAGGGUAUAGCUCAGUGGUAGAGCAUGUGCUUAGCAUGCACGAGGUCCUGGGUUCAGUCCCCAGUACCUCCA